AUUGAACGCUGGCGGCAUGCCUUACACAUGCAAGUCGAACGGCAGCACGGGGCAACCUGGUGGCGAGUGGCGAACGGGUGAGUAAUGCAUCGGAACGUGCCAUUGAGUGGGGGAUAACGUAGCGAAAGUUGCGCUAAUACCGCAUAUUCUGUGAGCAGGAAAGUAGGGGACCGCAAGGCCUUGCGCUCUUUGAGCGGCCGAUGUCAGAUUAGCUAGUUGGUGAGGUAACGGCUUACCAAGGCGACGAUCUGUAGCGGGUCUGAGAGGAUGAUCCGCCACACUGGAACUGAGACACGGUCCAGACUCCUACGGGAGGCAGCAGUGGGGAAUUUUGGUCAAUGGGCGCAAGCCUGAACCAGCCAUCCCGCGUGCAGGAAGACGGCCCUAUGGGUUGUAAACUGCUUUUCCAGGGGGAGAAUUUUCUGUCGUGACAGGAAUUGACGGUACCCUGGGAAUAAGCAUCGGCUAACUCCGUGCCAGCAGCCGCGGU
rnacentral:rRNA from 1 species